UACGGGGGGAGCAAACGUUGUUCGGAAUUACUGGGCGUAAAGGGCGCGUAGGCGGUCCUGUAAGUGGUGUGUGAAAUCCGAUGGCUCAACCAUCGAGCUGCGCUCCAUACUGCAGGACUUGAGUACAGCAGAGGAAAGUGGAAUUCCCGGUGUAGCGGUGAAAUGCGUAGAUAUCAAGAGGAACACCAGUGGCGAAGGCGGCUGCCUGGGCCUGGCCUGACGCUGAGGCGCGAAAGCGUGGGGAGCAAUCCGG
rnacentral:rRNA from 1 species